UUUUCUAUACAUUUGUGAACUUCUCUUUUUUUCUUUUUUUUUCUCACGCUCUCUCUUUUCCCAAACCUCUUUUCUUUCUCUCUUCUUUCUCUUUUCUAUUGCAUCUCUCACAUUUCUCUCUGUUUCUUUCUUCUUCAUUUUCUCUCAUUCAUUUAUAUGGAAUCUCUUUAUCUUCAACAAUCUUUUGCAUAUUUGUGAUUUAUUUUUGUUUUUUAUUUUAUUUUUCAGGUUAUAGAUAUAUAGGAAGACACAAACUCAAUAAGAAAAGGUUUAUAGGUCUACGAAUGAGAAAAUGGAAAAAGUUAAACAACAUCCAUAAAAGAAAAAUGAUCACAAAACAAUAG